rnacentral:rRNA from 1 species
UACGAAGGGGGCUAGCGUUGCUCGGAAUCACUGGGCGUAAAGCGCACAUAGGCGGAUUGCUAAGUCAGGGGUGAAAUCCUGGAGCUCAACUCCAGAACUGCCUUUGAUACUGGCGAUCUUGAGUCCGGGAGAGGUGAGUGGAACUGCGAGUGUAGAGGUGAAAUUCGUAGAUAUUCGCAAGAACACCAGUGGCGAAGGCGGCUCACUGGCCCGGUACUGACGCUGAGGUGCGAAAGCGUGGGGGAGCAAACAGG